rnacentral:rRNA from 1 species
UACGUAGGUGACAAGCGUUGUCCGGAUUUACUGGGCGUAAAGAGCGCGCAGGCGGUCGAUCAAGUCGAGUGUGAAAGCCCCCCGGCUCAACUGGGGAGGGUCAUUCGAUACUGAUCGACUCGAAGGCAGGAGAGGGUAGUGGAAUUCCUGGUGUAGCGGUGAAAUGCGCAGAUAUCAGGAGGAACACCUAUUGCGAAGGCAGCUCGCUGGGACGUAACUGACGCUGAGACGCGAAAGCGUGGGGAGCAAACAGG